rnacentral:tRNA from 1 species
CGGGGCGUGGCGCAGUGGAAGCGCACCUGCUUUGGGAGCAGGGGGUCGCGAGUUCAAGUCUCGCCGCCCCGACCA